rnacentral:other from 1 species
AAAACUCUGGGAUGUGCGCAUCUGCGACAGUAGCUUGACCAACGUAAAAAGUAUUGGCCGCGCUGUGAAGUGUCGGUGAGCAAGCCUGCCCCCGAGCAGGAAGCCUGAUGUCACUUACGGCAGCAUAGCUUAUUGUGCAAGGUCAUUUUAUCGUUGCGAUUACGGCAUCCUGGAGCGAAA